GACAGCGUACCUGCGCAAAGCCGGAGGCGGACACCUUUUUCUUCUUACUGGCGGUAUAGCCCCCGGCGCUGCUGCCGUUGUGGAAAGGACUGGCCGGCCUCUUCUUGCUGUUCCGGGCUAUCCCCGGAGUGGAAGUGGUGGCCACAAUUGGAAUUUGAGCCGCCAUUCCUACCCCGAGUCUUCCUCCUACCCGCCUCCCCACUUCGGUCCCAGUGCAGGCCCUGCAACUUCCGGCCCGCCGUUACUUCCGUCUUAAUGCUUUUGAAAACCCGGCCUGGACUCCGACAGCUUUCGUUGACUUCUCUGGGCCAAAUCUAAAAGGCGGAGCUCGGAGUUGUCUCUUCCUUCCGGGCGGGAGGGCGUCUGGCGGGCGGCGUGCUGCUGCUCACGCGCUCGGACCCGGGCACGUGCUUGGACGUCCCCAGGGAUUGAGGAUUAGAACAUCCCGUGAUCUUUUUAAAAUAACUGGAUUUUUUAAAAGCUAAUCACCACGUUGUCUCUUCUCACGUUAAGUCAGAAGAUUGAUCGCUUUUGAUGUCUCUAAGUGUAAAGUUAAAGCUCCCAGGAUCCACACCUUAGAUCCAUGCCACAACUGUCACAUGUUCAGAAGUGACACAGCUUCUCAAAACCAUGCAAGGUAUGCAGGAGGACUGGCCGAGCUGAGUGGUGGACGGAUCAAGGCUCUGCAGCUCCCCGCUGUUGGAAGCAGCUGUCUCACAGGGCAAGUGUUUGUUCCCAGAUCUGGAGCACAGUGGUUCAUGAUUCCUCAAUUAAAGGACAACUUAGCUGUGCACUAACGUGGCCAUCACAUGCUGGAUUCAGCUGAUGGAGUAGCAGGAAGGGGCUACCUUUGGGAAGAGAGAUGCAGCCUCUGGAGGUCCUCAAGGGGCUCUAGUCUGAAGCAUCAGAACACGUCUGACCAUCUCCUGGCUCAAGUUCAACAAGAAGAGAGAGUAACUGAAAAGCACCACCAGCAGCAGCUCCUAGCCACGCCAUGGGUGGAUCCUGCAGAUGCUCUGCUGCGCAGAAGGCACGGGACCCAAGUGCAAUUCCAUUGACACCAAGUUCUAGAACAGAUGGAAUAGUGUGGAUGGAGUACAUUUCCCACUAAGAACAGUUAAAAGCCCUGGACAUUGUAUAUGAAACAAACAAGAGAAAACUCUGAAAGGCAGAGAGAAGAAGACAACUGACUAAGGACCUUGGGAUCUGAGGAAUGACAGGACAAUGAGUUCUCUGUGUUAUUUUUUUGUUUGUUUGGUUUGUUUGUUUGUCUUGCCUCAUAUAUCUUAGGCUAGAGAAGCUGGCAACCUACAACCACCACAGGAACACAUUUUUAAAAAACCCCAAGAAAUGCCUGCUCUCACUAGCUAAAGGACUGGGAAAGGGGCAAUGUAGACAACUCUUAGACCAGUAACUACCCUAUUCUAGCCAAACCCUGCGGGAAAAAAAAAAGUGACCUCACCGCUGUCCCAGUCAGCAAAGGCUGAAUAGAGGGACUCCCACCUUCACCCUUUUGUUAGAAGGCAUCACUCAUGACCCCUCUAACCCCUGCUGGGGUGAUGUCAGAGAAGACCAAGUGGGGAGCCAGCACUUUCAUCCCGGCCCAGUUGACAGGUGACUAGCAAAAACAAAACAAACAAAACGAUGCAACCACAUGGAAGUGUAUUAUGCCAGGUUAAAAAAAAAAAAAAAAAAGCCAGUCUCAAAAGGUCAUAUACUGUAUGAUUCCAUUAUAUAACAUCCUUGAAUAACAAAACUAUAGAGAUGGAAAACAGAUAGUGGUUGCCAGGGGUUAGAGAUAGUGGGGAUGAGGGAGGGGUAGGUGUGACUAUGAAGGAAGUUCAUGAGGGAGAUCUUUGUGGUAAUGGAAUAGUUCUGUAUCUUGAUGCUGGUGAUAGUUAUGGGAAACUGUACAUGUGAUAAAGUGGCACAGAACUAUACACACAUAUUGUACCAAUGUCAAUUUCCUGGUUUUGAUAUUGUACUAUAGUUACAAGUUUAUAGCUUUUUUAUAAGUUACAGUUAUAAGAUGUAACCAUUGGGGGGAAAUGGGUGAAGGGUACAAAGGACUUUUCUGUACAGUUUUUACAGCUUCCUAUGAAUUUAUAAUUAUUUCAA